rnacentral:tRNA from 2 species
GGUCGGGUAGCGAAGAGGCUAAACGCGUCAGACUGUAAAUCUGAUCCUUAGGGUUCGUUGGUUCGAAACCAACCCCGACCACCA